rnacentral:lncRNA from 1 species
UUUAAUUGUUCCACUCUAGUGCCUUGGUCUGCAACCAGCAACCACGUAACUCUCGUUAGCCCUAAUUCUGAAUGAAGAAUCAUUGGUUAAUGGAGGAAGAUGGUGUAGUUCAUGCUAGUUCUGAAAUCAAUUUAAUCAACAAUGAAGACACCGUACUCUGAAACAAUACAUUCAUUGUCUUUUUAACCCUACAAAUCUUCGACAACCACAUGUUUCCGCCGCCUCUCUAUCGUACCUGAUUCAACACAACCACCGUCACAAGAAUUACCACAAUUCGUCAUCACUGUUCCCUCAGGCUCUCCUCAAAAGCGCUCAAACUGAAACAUCUGAUUCAAAUCGAACAAAUGGAUGAAAUACUAUCAACUUGAAGAAUUUAUUGGGGUUGCAUAAGUAUUCGAGUGGGUCGGAGAUGUACAAAAAGGCACUACAAGCUGUAUAUUUAACUGCAAUUUGGGGCAUUUGGAAGGCGCGAAACAAGGCGGUGUUUAACAAUGUUCAGGCACAGCUCCAAAAGACUAUGAGCUGACAUAAAAGCUCUUAGCAUAAGCAUUAGGAAGGGAGGGUGGGUAACAGGUCAGAGUUGUAUUAUUUUAGGACAUCUUCUAAAAUUCCAUGUAAACUCUUAUAUUUAAAUUUAAUAUAAAGAUUAGUUAGUUUUUGAAAGGACUGGUUGUUUGUUUCAGAUUGAUCGCGUUUAUCUUAGCUCUGCUUAUUGUGUUGUUGUACUUGAUCAUGAAAGGAAGUGGACGUAUGUGUUGAGGAAGGAAGGGCUACCUGAUGUUGGUUUACACUUUAAUUGGAGCUAGAGCAGCAGAAGUUGCUAUUGAUGCUGCUAAUAUAUUAAAAUGAGCCCUUACCAGAGGUGAAUUGCAGGUGGCAAUGUAUACACUUGAUAAAUACCGAAAACAUAUUGAAUAAUAUCCAGCGUUAGAGAGAUAUCCAGCGUUAGAGAGACGGUUCCAGCCAGUUAAGGUGAAACAAGCAAGGAUGAACAAACAAAAAUUUUGGCUUAUAGCCCCGAAGAAGCUCUGUAAUUGUUAUUGGAAUGGCUGGACUGCUUGAUUAUUUAUUUGUAUAACAUCAUUUUUUUCAUGUUUCCAUAUCAUACUCACUAGUUUGUUUGCAUGCCAACGUGUGUGAGAUAUCACCACUUUAUGCUGUACUUUUUUUUAUACACGCCCAAUUACUAACAUUGGUAGGUUUGUUUGUUUUUAUUGUAUUUAUAUAAUAUAUAAAUAACUUCUAU